AUGCUGCACGAGUGGAGUACGGGUGAGUAAUACAUCUUUCCGUGGCCGAUCGUGGGGGAUAACUGCUGCUAAGCUGUGCUAAUACCUUCUACGAUCUAAUGAUGAAAGCAGGGGAUCGCCCGACCUCGAGCGGAUGGAUCGGCCGAUGGCGGAUUACGUAGGUGGUGGGAUAAAAGCUUACCAAGCCGAUGAUCUGCCGCUGGGCUGAUGAGACGACCAGCCNACUGGGACUGAGACACGGCCGNACUCCUUGGGAGGGGGCGUGGGGAAUUUUGGACAAUGGGGGAAACCCUGAUCCGCCCAUGCCGCGUGCAGGAUGAAGGCCUUCGGGUUGNAAACUGCUUUUGUACGGAACGAAAAGGUCCUUUCU
rnacentral:rRNA from 1 species